AGAAGCAACAGAUUUGGAAGGACAUAUCAAACAGAGUCAGUGCUUGCGGGUCCUCUAUCCGCUCAUCAGAGGAUGUCAAAAAACAAAUGGACCACUCUAAAGAGUGACACAAGGAGGAAAGCCACUAGCCUAAAGAAGGCUAUAUUCCGGGGAGG